CAGUCUCCGGGGUGUCUGCGAGUUGGUUUUCGUCCCGAACCGUUAGAAGAAAUUUAGGAGACACUGGUGAAUUGUUGGUGUGCAGGCCGGCGGACUAACGUGCCGGAAGCCUAAUGCCUUUCCCGGGUCACCGCCUUGAACCACAACGGUUCAGGGUCUGACCGCUCACUGCAUCCCGGAAGCACA
rnacentral:other from 1 species